UAACUCCAUGUAUCAGUCCAACCCCUUUGUUGCGUUCUGCGCGCCUUGAGUCAGCGAGCACGUCAGGCUAUUUAAAGGCAGCUCGGUCCCUGCUGCUGCAUGCGCCGCCUGCUCUUUUCACAACCAGGUCUCUCAACAACUACUCUCCAAGCUUCCCAACACUUUAUCAGCGAGGCUAAAAUAGAAAGAAUACAACUGAAGAGGCACCAUGAUGCAAAAGGCUUUUCUGAAGGUAAAAGAAGGAUUCUUUGUGGCAGUCAAAAGGACCUCUGCAGCUGGACUGCAAUUGUGUGUUGUCGAAUUAAAAGAAGAAGCACGUUCAGUGAAAAUAUGGACACGUACAAGAGGAGAGGAAAUUCAUAUUGCUUUCAGUUUCCUGAGCACAGAUGGCCACUAUUCCCCAAAGGUGAAAGAAAAAAAGCUGCAGUUGGAGAGGAUUGCCUCUGUUACUCCAAUCACUGAAACGAUGAAAGACCCUGACGAUGAAACCUACUGGUUUCAGAAGGUUGACCUAAAGCUCAACGAACAUUACGGCCUGCGGUCCGUGGUCAAUCCUGGUCAAUACCUCAGUAAAUUGGAAGAUCUCACGAAAGAAACCACUGUGUUCUGCCUCAGUGAAGACAGUCAGGCAUGCGCUGAGCUCACACAAGAAGUGUGAAGAAACCAACAACACCUUUGACACGGAAACAGCAACCUUGCCUGCUGGGUGGGAUGAGUUUCUUGGCAACAGGCAGAGAGUGAAUUUAUUUAGAUAAUGUGUAAUUCUUUGGGGGCUGUGUGUCUUAAACUUAACUCUAUACUUUUCGAUGAAGCUAUCCCACUAGUAAAUUCAGUUUAACUUUUAACAUUCUGUUAUGUUUUAGGGUUAUGCUAAUUCCAACUUCUUUAUACCCGGGUAAAUGAAUCUACUGCUAUGCAUCUUGGGCUUUAAGAAGAAGAAGAAGAAUCUAGUAGUACUAGGAUGGGUGGGCAGUUAUUGUGCAGCGCCCGGGGAGCAAUGGGGAGGUGGGAUUGGAGGUGUCCAGUGCCUUGCUCCACCACAGCAGGGCCUAGAAGGUGAACUGGGACCUCUCCAAGUAGCAGUCCACUUUCCAUAUUUCAAGUCUGUUUGGGGACUUGAACUGGCGACCCCAGCCCCUACUGACUGAGCCACUGCUGGACAAAAGAAGAAACUCCUGCGAUGGCUGGGAAUCAAACCCAGGUCAACUGCUUUGAAGGCAGCUAAGCUCACUACUUUGUUGUUGUCGCCAUGAGAACCAUGCAUCAAACUUAGAAAAUCUGUCGUUUUUUAGUUUAGCUUAAGAGGAACAACAUUUUUUUUUUGAGAUUUGGAGAUUCACUUGACCGGAAAUAUACAUAUAUAUACAUUGUAAAGUACCUAAAACUUCCAGACAAAUGUAAUACAAAGCAAAAGUGCACUUACUGUAUCUCUGAAAUGUAAUGUCUUUUUUUUUAGUUAGAAACUACCUCUUGGGGAAACUUAGCCUCAAAUUUGUACAGUACUGAAUAAAUGUGAGUUAUAUUUAUGGAGUAAUGUUGAUUAAAGUGUCUCACAGAAGAAUCAAACCA